rnacentral:rRNA from 1 species
UACGUAGGGUGCGAGCGUUGUCCGGAAUUAUUGGGCGUAAAGAGCUCGUAGGCGGUUUGUCACGUCUGCUGUGAAAUCCCGAGGCUCAACCUCGGGCCUGCAGUGGGUACGGGCAGACUGGAGUGCGGUAGGGGAGAAUGGAAUUCCUGGUGUAGCGGUGGAAUGCGUAGAGAUCGGGAAGAACAUCAGUGGCGAAGGCGGCCUGCUGGGCUGUUGCUGACGCUGAGGCGCGACAGCGUGGGGAGCAAACAGG